rnacentral:ncRNA from 2 species
CUCUUAUCCAGAGUGGCGGAGGGACUAGGCCCUGUGACGCCCGGCAACCUUUCAAGGAUCGUCCUUGAAAAAGGUGCUAAUUCCUACAGAUCGAUUAUUGAUCUGGCAGAUAAGAG